rnacentral:rRNA from 1 species
CCUACGUGGGGCAGCAGUGGGGAAUAUUGGACAAUGGGCGAAAGCCUGAUCCAGCCAUGCCGCGUGUGUGAAGAAGGCCUUCGGGUUGUAAAGCACUUUCAGUGGGGAAGAAAGCCUUGGGGCUAAUACCCUCGAGGAAGGACAUCACCCACAGAAGAAGCACCGGCUAACUCCGUGCCAGCAGCCGCGGUAAUACGGAGGGGGCGAGCGUUAAUCGGAAUUACUGGGCGUAAAGCGCGCGUAGGCGGUCUGAUAAGCCGGUUGUGAAAGCCCCGGGCUCAACCUGGGAACGGCAUCCGGAACUGUCAGGCUAGAGUGCAGGAGAGGAAGGUAGAAUUCCCGGUGUAGCGGUGAAAUGCGUAGAGAUCGGGAGGAAUACCAGUGGCGAAGGCGGCCUUCUGGACUGACACUGACGCUGAGGUGCGAAAGCGUGGGUAGCAAACAGGAUUAGAUACCCCAGUAGUC